AAGGGAGACCUAAUUCGGGUAGAAGACGAAAAAAUAGUAGUCGAAACCAAGAAUCAAUCCCAAAAGGUCGGAACGAGGUAUGUGGCUUUCAAACUAGGUUCUGGGUUCACAAAAGACCUGAAUCAGGAACAAGGGCUAUUAGCUCAGGUGGUUAGAGCGCACCCCUGAUAAGGGUUAGGUCCCUGGUUCGAGUCCAGGAUGGCCCACCUGCACAGGUGGCAAAAACAAGAGAAACGAGGAAUCAGCACCUUAUCUUACUUACAUAGUAAGAGAGAAUGCUGGCUCUGAGUAAAGAGUCCAGAGGAACCUUGAAAACUGCAUAGAGCUAGGUGAAAAAGCCAAAAAAGAAGACCGCAA
rnacentral:tRNA from 1 species